rnacentral:rRNA from 1 species
CACAGGUGGUCGGGUAGAGAAUACCAAGGCGCUUGAGAGAACUCGGGUGAAGGAACUAGGCAAAAUGGUACCGUAACUUCGGGAGAAGGUACGCUCUUGAUGGUGAAGUCCCUCGCGGAUGGAGCUGACGAGAGUCGCAGAUACCAGGUGGCUGCAACUGUUUAUUAAAAACACAGCACUGUGCAAAAUCGCAAGAUGACGUAUACGGUGUGACGCCUGCCCGGUGCCGGAA